rnacentral:tRNA from 1 species
GCGGGUGUGGUGAAAUUGGUAGACACGCUAGAUUUAGGAUCUAGUGCUUUACGGCGUGGGGGUUCGAGUCCCUUCACCCGCACAA